GUAGGGCUAGGUCUAAACUAGAAUUUAUAGAAAGAUUAAAAGAUUCCCUAGGUGUAGCUAAAAGUUCAUUAUCUUCUUGAUUAAAAGAUAGGACCUCAGCUAUAGAAAAGGGUUGGUUUUGACCUAUUGCAAUCAACUUCCGACACAGUCAUAAUUAGGGCCAAAGAAAGGACUUGUUGACUCCCAUGGUCUAUGGCUGGUCUCCGAAGGUGCAAAAAAUUCAAUAAUAGGUGUGGAAUUUGAGUUAUCCAUAAAGAUGGAAAAAACAAAAAGAUAAAAGAAUAAAAGUAUAAAAGUAUAAUACAAGAUAUUUGGUAACAGCGCCAGAAAUGCUUGUUGAUAUUUGGUAACACCAUCAGGAAAUGAUCCGCAAGCGCAUGGAUAUCGGUGAGCACUUCACCC
rnacentral:lncRNA from 1 species